rnacentral:rRNA from 1 species
UAAUACGGAGGAUGCGAGCGUUAUCCGGAUUUAUUGGGUUUAAAGGGUGCGUAGGCUGUGCGUUAAGUCAGGGGUGAAAUGCCGUUGCUCAACAUCGGAGCUGCCCUUGAUACUGGCGUGCUGGAGUACGGAUGCCGUUGGAGGAAUGAGUAGUGUAGCGGUGAAAUGCAUAGAUAUUACUCAGAACACCGAUUGCGAAGGCAUCUGACGAAUCCGUAACUGACGCUGAGGCACGAAAGCGUGGGGAUAGAACAGGAUUAGAUACCCUGGUAUUCCACGCCGUAAACGAUGAUGACUAACCGCCGGCGACAGACCGAUCGGUGGCCAAGCGAAAGCGAUAAGUCAUCCACCUGGGGAGUACGACCGCAAGGUUGAAACUCAAAGGAAUUGACGGGGGCCCGCACAAGCGGAGGAACAUGUGGUUUAAUUCGAUGAUACGCGAGGAACCUUACCCGGGCUCGAACGGCAAAGGAAGGAUCCAGAGAUGGUGACGCCCUUCGGGGCCUUUGUCGAGGUGCUGCAUGGUUGUCGUCAGCUCGUGCCGUGAGGUGUCGGCUCAAGUGCCAUAACGAGCGCAACCCUUGCCGUCAGUUGCCAUCAAGUAGUGUGGGGACUCUGACGGGACUGCACGCAAGGUGUGAGGAGGGGGGGAUG